rnacentral:rRNA from 1 species
CCUACGGGUGGCAGCAGUCGAGAAUCAUUCACAAUGGGGGAAACCCUGAUGCUGCGACGCCGCGUGGGGGAAUGAAGGUCUUCGGAUUGUAAACCCCUGUCAUGUGGGAGCAAAUUAAAAAGAUAGUACCACAAGAGGAAGAGACGGCUAACUCUGUGCCAGCAGCCGCGGUAAUACAGAGGUCUCAAGCGUUGUUCGGAAUCACUGGGCGUAAAGCGUGCGUAGGCUGUUUCGUAAGUCGUGUGUGAAAGGCGCGGGCUCAACCCGCGGACGGCACAUGAUACUGCGAGACUAGAGUAAGGGAAGGGGAACCGGAAUUCUCGGUGUAGCAGUGAAAUGCGUAGAUAUCGAGAGGAACACUCGUGGCGAAGGCGGGUUCCUGGACAUUAACUGACGCUGAGGCACGAAGGCCAGGGGAGCGAAAGGGAUUAGAUACCCCUGUAGUC